UACAGAGGUCUCAAGCGUUAAUCGGAGUUACUGGGCUUAAAGGGUGCGUAGGCGGCGCUGUAAGUGCUUUGUGAAAUCCCAUGGCUUAACCAUGGAAUUGCUCGGCAGACUGCAGCGCUUGAGGUUGGUAGGGGUCGCUGGAACUCUAGGUGGAGCGGUGAAAUGCGUAGAUAUCAGGAGGAACACCGAUGGCGAAGGCAGGUCUCUGGCCCGAUACUGACGCUGAGGAGCGAAAGCGUGGGGAGCGAACAGG
rnacentral:rRNA from 1 species